ACGGUAAUUAGAUGAAUUGGUACCCAACAAGUUUAAAAGGGAAUCCGCGAAAAACGGAGCUGCCCCCGCAACUGAGGGCACGGACGACUGUCUUAGUAAAUCCACUGCUUCGGCGGGAAGGAAAGAUGGAAGGAAGAUGUGCCAGCCAGUAGACCUGCCAAUCGUCUCAGCAAAAC
rnacentral:ncRNA from 2 species